GCAAAUUUUAUUUUUUCUAGGCUAGCCUAUAUAGCCAGUAUUAUGAGGUAAAGGGGUAAGGGGAGAAGAGCACAAGAUUAAGGUGUUCAUUUAAGCAGGAUGUUAGAAAACUACAGAAAGAAGAUGUUGGCAGGGUCAAAAGUUCAUGAGUGGUGGGGAGAAGGAGGGUUACCUAGGUAAAUGGUGAGAUGAGGGAGGGUUGCUUAGGUAAGUGGACUUCUGUUUGGAACAAUAGAUUGACGUCUCGGUCAUGUUGUUCCUUCUGGGUGCUAAUGAUUCUGGGAGUAACUUAUAAUCAAAAGACAGUUCUAUAAGCAUGUGGCAUGCAAAGUUUAGGCCUAAAGUUAAUGCCAACCUGCAUGGCUCCAAACAAGUCACCACCAUUCAGAGUUCCAAACUGAAUGUUUGCAGGUAUCAGGGAAGCAGAAUAUGAGCCCAUUCAGACAAGUCAGACUUCAAGCCUGAAAGUUCCUAAUUUGUCCUAACAGGAGGUAUAAAAUCAAGCAGGGGUACAUCUCACAUGUGGACUUGUGAGCUCCCAAUGAUGCCUAUUAUCAUAUGGGAGAUAAAUUCACUCUUGUGGUUUUGGUUAGCCAACCAUCUUUUAAAGACAUUAUUGUCAGCUUCCAUCCUGAUCAUUUCUUUUGUACAUUUCCAUCAUUUUUUUGAGAUUUGGCGUUGGAAAUUUCCAUAAUCACCAACUAUAAGUUAAUUUCUGAUGCAGUCAAUUACUGUGCUGUGAAAAAGAUUCACCACACUGGUUACUUUCCUAUGGUAUCUAUCCAUUAUGUGUCCUUUUAUGUACUUGAAGACUACUGUGGUGAGAAAAGACUUUACCACACUGAUUACAUUCAUACGGUUUCUCUCCAGUAUGUGUCCUUUUAUGACUUUGAAGAUGACUGUGCCGAGCAAAGGCUUUACCACACUGAUUACAUUCAUAGGGUUUCUCUCCAGUAUGUGUCCUUUUAUGCAUUAGAAGAGUACUAUGGCAAGCAAAAGCUUUCCCACACUGAUUACAUUCAUAGGGUUUCCUUCCAGUAUGUGUCCUCUUAUGCAUUUGAAGAGUACUGUGCUGAGAAAAGGCUUUACCACACUGAUUGCAUUCAUAAGGUUUCUCUCCAGUAUGUGUCCUUUUAUGCCUUUGAAGAAUACUGUGCUGAGAAAAGGCUUUCCCACACUGUUUACAUUCAUAGGGUUUCUCUCCAGUAUGUGUUCUUUUAUGCCUUUGAAGAGUACUGUGCUGAGAAAAGGCUUUACCACACUGAUUACAUUCAUAGGGUUUCUCUCCAGUAUGUGAUCUUUUAUGACGUUGAAGAGCACUGUGACGAGAAAAGGCGUUACCACACUGACUACAUUCAUAGGGUUUCUCUCCAGUAUGUGAUCUUUUAUGUCUUUGAAGAGCACUGUGAUGAGAAAAGGCUUUACCACAUUGAUUACAUUUGUAGGUUUUCUCCUCCUUAUGUCUUCUUUGAUGAAUAAGAAGAUAACACUGAUAUGCAAAGGCUUUACCACAUUGGUUGCAUUCAUAUGAUUUCUCUCCAGUGUGUUUUGUUUCAUGACUUUGGAGAUAACUGUUAUUUUCAAAGGCUUUAUCACAUUGUGUG
rnacentral:lncRNA from 1 species